UGAGGCGCCGCCUCCUGAGGGUGGUGCUUUGGUUGCGAGUAGAUAGCUAUCGUGCCGUUGGAUGGGUUUUUUAAAAAUGUUUUUGAUGUUCGAUAUCAAUUUCGAUAAUUGGACAAUUUCCACCUCUUCUCACCUGUCGCUCUCUCUUUUGAUAGUAGAAUGAAAUGUUUUAUUAAACAGUAGAAAAUGCUGGAAACACGCAGCUGCUCCUGAAGCUUCCAGGGUACACUUCACAAUGGCAAACAAGACAUUUAUUAUAUCUGCUCCUGGGAAGUUGAUAUUGCAUGGAGAACAUGCUGUGGUGCAUGGAAAGGUGGCUCUGGCAGUCAGCAUAAACUUGAAAACAUAUCUCCGGCUGCAACCUUGUCCUGAUCAAAAAGUGCAAUUAAACUUACCAAAUAUUAAUGUCCAUCUCAGUUGGAAACCUGCUGCCCUGCAGUUUCUGCAGUCAGCAAUUGAUGUGACUGAUGUGCUAACCCCAAAGCCUCCAAACCAGGAACAAGUGGAUCAUUUGAGACAGUUUGCAGGAAUUUCAGAAGGCUCAACAGAUGCAAAAAGCCUUAGUAUCCUCUGUUUCCUUUAUCUUUAUGGGGCUAUCUGCACCAGAGAUGGGCAGAUGCCAAACGUGGACAUUCUGAUUUGGUCUGAGCUUCCAAUAGGAGCUGGCUUGGGAUCUAGUGCUGCAUAUUGUGUGUGUCUGGCAGCAGCCCUCUUAUCAGCCAGUGGGGCCAUUACCUGUCCAGAUCCACAGGAGUACAACAGUACCAGAUGGAAUGAGGAUGAACUGGAGCUGAUUAACAAAUGGGCGUUUCAAGGAGAGAAAUUGAUCCAUGGAAAUCCAUCUGGUGUGGACAAUGCUGUGGGAACAUGGGGGGGAAUUCUGAGAUAUCACGCAGGUAAAAUUGUUCCUUUAUCCAGUGAUCAUCUCCUGUUGAACAAAGUGACUUAUGGACAAACUAUUAAAUACAACACAUGCAUGCACACACAAAUUGGUGGAAAAUCUCAGCAGGUCUGGCAGCAUCUUCGAAAAGAAAUCAAAAUCAGAGUUACCGUUUCAAGUGUCCCCACCCUCCGGAUACUUCUUACUAACACAAAGGUGCCAAGGAGUACGAAAGUGCUAGUAGCAGGAGUGAAGGAUAAACUUAAUAAGCUGCCAAGCAUAAUAAAACCCGUCCUGGAUUCAAUAGAUGCUAUUUCAUGCGAGUGUGAACGUGUUCUGGCCGCAAUAGCAUCUGGCAAUGCCAUAGAUGAGCACUACACAAUCCUGGAGGAACUUAUUGACAUCAACCAACACCACUUGAAUGUUAUUGGAGUGGGCCAUUCAUCACUGGACAGAUUGUGUCAAGUAACUGCGACAUAUGGUCUGCACAGCAAACUGACCGGAGCAGGAGGCGGUGGAUGUGGCUUAACACUGCUGCGACCAGGUACAAGUCCUUCUGUGGUGGAAGCAUCUAAACAGGCUUUAAAAGACUUGGGGUACGAUUGCUGGGAAACAGUUAUUGGUGGUUCGGGUGUGUCCCUGCAUUCACCGUCAUCCUGGUGUGAGGACACGUUUCGGCUUUUGUGCAACAUGAAGAAUUGUUGAAGAGUUUUGGACACCUAGUACUGUCAUGAAAGCUUUGACUCCUUGCUGAAGUAGAGUUCACUUGGAUGUUGGUUGCCUGCCAUUAUUUCCACUAUUUUCCAUGUGUGAGCUGAGACUGUGAAUGUAGGCAGAGAGAAAUGCUCAUACAGAAUAUCACAGCCAAGCUGGAUCCUGUUCUCACUCUCAAUCCACACACGUGCGUUUCCUGACAGUACCUAUGGUCACUAAACAAGAUGGGUUCAAAUUAAACCAACUGCGGAUGCUGGAGAAUGGAAACGGAAACAGAAAUUGCUGACGAAACUCGGCAGGUCUGUGGGUGGGGAGAAGGCAGAGUUAAUGUCUCUAGUCUAGUGACUCUUCAUCAGAACCGAUAAUGGAGAGGAAAAUGUAUGAUGAAAAAGUGGAGUGGGUUGGGGUGGAGGUGGGUGAAAGUGAGCAGAUAGAAAGAGAUGAAGCCCUGAGAGAGAAGUAUAUGAAAGGGGUGGGCAAACGAGGGGGGUUGUUGAAAGUAGGUCAGAACCAGGAUAGAGGGGAGGGCUCUGAGGAAGGAGCACUUGACCCGAAACGUUAACUCUGAUUUCUGUCCACCGAUGUUGCCAGACCUGCUGAGAUUUUUCAGCAAUUUCUGUUUUUGUGCCAGGAUAGAGGGGAAUCUGAACAAGUGAUAAUGAGAACUGAGAGUAGGAGGGAAUGGCAGGCUGUGCUGAAAACAAGCCACGUAAUGUGAUAAUAGGCCUGAGAGUGGGUUAAAAUGGGUUGGCUGUGAUUAAAGCAACCCAAGUUAUGACAGGACUGUGUGUUGGUGGGUAAAGAGCAUGGAAAGAUGGAAUCAGGCUCUAAAGUUAUUGAAAUUGGUGUGGAGUUUUAGAGACUGCAGCGUCCUCGAGCAGAAAAUGAGUGCUGUUCUUCGAGCUUACACUGAGGCCCACUGAAACACUGCAGCAGGCCUGUGACAGAUGUGUUGUGUUGAAGUGGUAGGCAAUAAUCCCCUCAUUCCCCUACUGCUUUCAUAUUUCUAUCUCUCCCUCUGGGCUCCGUCUCCAUCUCUCCCCUCACCACCUCCCAACCUUGUCUUCAGCAUAAAUAUACCACCUUUUCCUCACUGCUAUCAGUUCUGAUGAAGAGUCACUGGACCUGAACCAUUAACUGUGCUUUCUUCCCAUGGAUACUGCCAGGCCUGCUGAGUUUUGCCAGCAAUUUGUUUUUGUUUGGGUUCAGAUUAAGUUGUCUUUCAGUCCAUUUGAUCUUAUACUCCUGGAAUACUAGCCCUAUUGUAUCUUGAAUUCGCUGUUUUUUCAAAUGCUCCACUUGCUGUUCAAUAUCAUUGCUACUCUACAUGUCAGUCUCAAAGGAUGCUAAAGGGCUAUUUAAUAGCUUGAGGGAAGAGAAGGAUGUCACAUCCCAACUCAAUUAUGUCUCCAUCUGAUGUGUUCACUUCCAUGGGCUGUGAUCACAUUAUAGUGAUCAUAAACAAUCAGGCUGAUUUUUAUUCUCACUGCCCUGACAUAAGUGCACAAAAUACUAAUGCAACAUCCUCCCUGUAAUAAAAAGUGUAACCUGGGAUCUUC